rnacentral:lncRNA from 1 species
UUUUAGGAUCAGAUCUUCUGGACGGAAGACCUUCGGCUUAACUUUUGAAUUAUAAUACUAGGCUACUCUUUAUCGAUAUGCUGCCAUCCAAAUUUGAGCUUACUAUCGGACUUUCGAAAGUAGGUCUAGAUCGGCUCUUCGAUAUUCUGAAUUGCUCAGCUCAUUUUAUUAUUCUAUCUUUGCUGAUGGUAAUCCGAUCUCAAGUGAGAUCAUCACUUCUAUUUCAUAAACCAAAUUGAAUGGCAAUUCUUCCAUUGGUGUACGAGUUGUUCGGUAUGCCCAUA